UGUUGUGGAAUAUUUCAAUAAAAGCUCGGUAGAAGAGAAUGAUUUGUCUGAUAAAACAGAGUCUUGAUGAAUGAUCAAAGUUGCAAAAAGUCCAUUUAUUGCUAAGGACAUUCUCCGUGCCAGCUACGAGAAUCUGCAAAGCAGGUUGAGAUAAGAACCCAGGUGAAGCUGAGGGCAGCACACACACACACACACACAAGAUCCUCCUCAGUGGCCGGUGCAAAUCAUUAUUAAUUGACAUAAAGUAAAACGUGUAUCCGGAACUAUCGUACCGAAUAAGAUAUGAACCAAGGCCAUGAAGAGGAGUCCUUUGUUUUGAAGCUUCUAUGAGAUCGAGCCGACCGUCCUCCCUUCUCAGGGCACAGCUGCAAAGCAACAUUUUGUAUCAUGCUGCUUUUUGCACAUCAGGGUCAAAUACAGACACUUGAGACACGGCUUUAGCACCAAACAAUGUUAUAACAUAUUUUACCAUCACAUUCCACUCUUGAUUAUUCUUUAAUCACACAUAAUAUUGCAAAAAAAUAUGUUUUUAAACAUAAGAAAAUAAAAAUGUGGGAACGAGUUCCCUCUGGCCUCGUGAGAAAGUUCCAUGGGCGUUGUCGCGCCAUGAUAAGAGAAAAACACUCAGGUAGCGGACUACAGAAUCACAGAAAUAUAGAUAGAUAAUGAAACUGAAGCAAGCAAUAAUAUGAAUAAAACCGUAGUGACACAAACGACUACUGUGUCUAUGUGAAGGGGUCCUGGCCGUGUUCUUCUUGUGUUGGUCCGCAGGUACACGUUGGGAUGUGGAGUCUGCCAACCUUCUUUCUUGUGAGGCAUCCGCGUUGUAGACAGUCAACACAGAUCACAAUGCACUGUGUGUCUGUCGGUCAACUGCCCGUCCGUGGUCACUGCAACGGUGGUGUCGGUUGAUUGACACUUGUUGUGGGGGUAGGGUCGCCUGAGCCCACUGCUGGUACUGUGACUGUUUUACCCGUAGCCAGUUUACAGGCCUCGGUCAGAGCGAUGAGCUCGGCUGCCUGGGCUGAGAGGUGACAUGGCAGAGGACCUGAACACAGCACACCAGAGUCAGAAACAACAGCAAAACCAACACGAUUUUCACCAGACUGAGGAUCGCGG
ensembl:lncRNA